rnacentral:rRNA from 1 species
UACAGAGGUCUCAAGCGUUGUUCGGAUUCAUUGGGCGUAAAGGGUGCGUAGGUGGCGUGGCAAGUCGGGUGUGAAAUUUCGGAGCUUAACUCCGAAACUGCAUUCGAUACUGCUGUGCUUGAGGACUGGAGAGGAGACUGGAAUUUACGGUGUAGCAGUGAAAUGCGUAGAGAUCGUAAGGAAGACCAGUGGCGAAGGCGGGUCUCUGGACAGUUCCUGACACUGAGGCACGAAGGCCAGGGGAGCAAACGGG